rnacentral:misc_RNA from 1 species
GAUGAAGAACGUAGCAAAAUGCGAUAAGUAAUGUGAAUUGCAGAAUUCAGUGAAUCAUCGAAUCUUUGAACGCACAUUGCGCCCGCUGGUAUUCCGGCGGGCAUGCCUGUUCGAGCGUCAUUUCAACCCUCAAGCCCCCGGGUUUGGUGUUGGGGAUCGGCUCUGCCCUUCUGGGCGGUGCCGCCCCCGAAAUACAUUGGCGGUCUCGCUGCAGCCUCCAUUGCGUAGUAGCUAACACCUCGCAGCUGGAACGCGGCGCGGCCAUGCCGUAAAACCCCAACUUCUGAAUGUUGACCUCGGAUCAGGUAGGAAUACCCGCUGAACUUAAGCAUAUCAAUAAGCGGAGA